GACAGUUUGGCCGAGUGGUCUAAGGCGCCAGAUUUAGGCUCUGGGCGUGGGUUCAAAUCCCACAGCUGUCA